rnacentral:misc_RNA from 1 species
GAAAUGCGAUAAGUAGUGUGAAUUGCAGAAUUCAGUGAAUCAUCGAAUCUUUGAACGCACAUUGCGCCCCUUGGUAUUCCAUGGGGCAUGCCUGUUCGAGCGUCAUUUGUACCCUCAAGCUCUGCUUGGUGUUGGGUGUUUGUCAUACCCUUUGCGGUUUGACUCGCCUUAAAUUUAUUGGCAGCCGGCAUAUUGUCUAGGAGCGCAGCACAUUUUGCGAUCGUAGUCUCUAUAUCAGCGUCCACUAAGCCUUAAUUAUCACUUUUGACCUCGGAUCAGGUAGGGAUACCCGCUGAACUUAA